GAUGAACGCUGGCGGCGUGCCUAAUACAUGCAAGUCGAGCGAACAGACGAGGAGCUUGCUCCUCUGACGUUAGCGGCGGACGGGUGAGUAACACGUGGAUAACCUACCUAUAAGACUGGGAUAACUUCGGGAAACCGGAGCUAAUACCGGAUAAUAUAUUGAACCGCAUGGUUCAAUAGUGAAAGACGGUUUUGCUGUCACUUAUAGAUGGAUCCGCGCCGCAUUAGCUAGUUGGUAAGGUAACGGCUUACCAAGGCGACGAUGCGUAGCCGACCUGAGAGGGUGAUCGGCCACACUGGAACUGAGACACGGUCCAGACUCCUACGGGAGGCAGCAGUAGGGAAUCUUCCGCAAUGGGCGAAAGCCUGACGGUGCAACGCCGCGUGAGUGAUGAAGGUCUUCGGAUCGUAAAACUCUGUUAUUAGGGAAGAACAAAUGUGUAAGUAACUAUGCGCGUCUUGACGGUACCUAAUCAGAAAGCCACGGCUAACUACGUG
rnacentral:rRNA from 1 species